UACGUAGGGUGCAAGCGUUAAUCGGAAUUACUGGGCGUAAAGCGUGCGCAGGCGGUUUUGUAAGUCUGUCGUGAAAUCCCCGGGCUCAACCUGGGAAUUGCGAUGGAGACUGCAAGGCUAGAAUCUGGCAGAGGGGGGUAGAAUUCCACGUGUGAGCAGUGAAAUGCGUAGAGAUAGUGGGAGGAACACCGAUGGCGAAGGCAGCCCCCUGGGUCAAGAUUGACGCUCAUGCACGAAAGCGUGGGGAG
rnacentral:rRNA from 1 species